CCAGCUCUCCGAGUAGUAGGGACGAUUAUUGGGCUUAAAGCGUCCGUAGCCGGCUUAGCAAGUUUCCUGUUAAAUUCAGCGACCUAAUCGUUGAGCCGCGGGAGAUACUACUAGGCUAGGAGGCGGGAGAGGCCGACGGUAUUCCCGGGGUAGGGGUGAAAUCCUAUAAUCCCGGGAGGACCACCAGUGGCGAAGG
rnacentral:rRNA from 1 species